GACGAACGCUGGCGGCGUGCCUAACACAUGCAAGUCGAGCGGGGUUGAAGCGAGAGGUAACUCGAACUUCUACCUAGCGGCGGACGGGUGAGUAACGCGUGGGCAACCUGCCUCAAGGUUUGGGAUAACAGCCCGAAAGGGCUGCUAAUACCGGAUAUGCCUAUGGCCUCGCAUGGGGCUAUGAGCAAAGGGGAAACCCGCCUUGAGAUGGGCCCGCGUCCCAUCAGCUAGUUGGUGAGGUAACAGCUCACCAAGGCGACGACGGGUAGCCGGCCUGAGAGGGUGACCGGCCACACUGGGACUGAGACACGGCCCAGACUCCUACGGGGGGCAGCGAGUGGGGGAUCUUGCACAAUGGGCGAAAGCCUGAUGCAGCGACGCCGCGUGAGCGAAGAAGGCCUUCGGGUUGUAAAGCUCUGUCUGGAGGGACGAACAAAAUGACGGUACCUCCGGAGGAAGCCACGGCUAACUACGUG
rnacentral:rRNA from 1 species